GAUUGUUUUGAAGUUGGUAGUUGAUG
rnacentral:piRNA from 1 species